rnacentral:rRNA from 1 species
GACGAACGCUGGCGGCGCGCCUAACACAUGCAAGUCGAACGAGCGAGAGAGAGCUUGCUUUCUUGAGCGAGUGGCGAACGGGUGAGUAACGCGUGAGGAACCUGCCUCAAAGAGGGGGACAACAGUUGGAAACGACUGCUAAUACCGCAUAAGCCCACGGUGCCGCAUGGCACAGAGGGAAAAGGAGCAAUCCGCUUUGAGAUGGCCUCGCGUCCGAUUAGCUAGUUGGUGAGGUAACGGCCCACCAAGGCGACGAUCGGUAGCCGGACUGAGAGGUUGAACGGCCACAUUGGGACUGAGACACGGCCCAGACUCCUACGGGAGGCAGCAGUGGGGAAUAUUGCACAAUGGGGGAAACCCUGAUGCAGCGACGCCGCGUGGAGGAAGAAGGUUUUCGGAUUGUAAACUCCUGUUGUUGGGGAAGAUAAUGACGGUACCCAACAAGGAAGUGACGGCUAACUACGUG